UGGAGAGUUUGAUCCUGGCUCAGGAUGAACGCUGGCGGCGUGCUUAACACAUGCAAGUCGAACGGUGAACACGGAGCUUGCUCUGUGGGAUCAGUGGCGAACGGGUGAGUAACACGUGAGCAACCUGCCCCUGACUCUGGGAUAAGCGCUGGAAACGGCGUCUAAUACUGGAUAUGUGACGUGACCGCAUGGUCUGCGUCUGGAAAGAAUUUCGGUUGGGGAUGGGCUCGCGGCCUAUCAGCUUGUUGGUGAGGUAAUGGCUCACCAAGGCGUCGACGGGUAGCCGGCCUGAGAGGGUGACCGGCCACACUGGGACUGAGACACGGCCCAGACUCCUACGGGAGGCAGCAGUGGGGAAUAUUGCACAAUGGGCGCAAGCCUGAUGCAGCAACGCCGCGUGCGGGAUGACGGCCUUCGGGUUGUAAACCGCUUUUAGUAGGGAAGAAGCCUUCGGGUGACGGUACCUGCAGAAAAAGGACCGGCUAACUACGUGCCAGCAGCCGCGGU
rnacentral:rRNA from 1 species